rnacentral:rRNA from 1 species
UACGUAGGGUGCGAGCGUUAAUCGGAAUUACUGGGCGUAAAGCGUGCGCAGGCGGUUUUGUAAGCCAGAUGUGAAAUCCCCGGGCUUAACCUGGGAAUGGCAUUUGGGACUGCAAGGCUUGAGUGCGGCAGAGGAGACUGGAAUUCCUGGUGUAGCAGUGAAAUGCGUAGAUAUCAGGAGGAACACCGAUGGCGAAGGCAGCCCCCUGGGUUAACACUGACGCUCAGGCACGAAAGCGUGGGGAGCAAACAGG